rnacentral:rRNA from 1 species
GAUGAACGCUAGCUACAGGCUUAACACAUGCAAGUCGAGGGGCAGCAUGGUCUUAGCUUGCUAAGGCCGAUGGCGACCGGCGCACGGGUGAGUAACACGUAUCCAACCUGCCGUCUACUCUUGGACAGCCUUCUGAAAGGAAGAUUAAUACAAGAUGGCAUCAUGAGUCCGCAUGUUCACAUGAUUAAAGGUAUUCCGGUAGACGAUGGGGAUGCGUUCCAUUAGAUAGUAGGCGGGGUAACGGCCCACCUAGUCUUCGAUGGAUAGGGGUUCUGAGAGGAAGGUCCCCCACAUUGGAACUGAGACACGGUCCAAACUCCUACGGGAGGCAGCAGUGAGGAAUAUUGGUCAAUGGGCGAGAGCCUGAACCAGCCAAGUAGCGUGAAGGAUGACUGCCCUAUGGGUUGUAAACUUCUUUUAUAAAGGAAUAAAGUCGGGUAUGGAUACCCGUUUGCAUGUACUUUAUGAAUAAGGAUCGGCUAACUCCGUGCUACCAGCCGCGGUAAUACGGAGGAUCCGAGCGUUAUCCGGAUUUAUUGGGUUUAAAGGGAGCGUAGAUGGAUGUUUAAGUCAGUUGUGAAAGUUUGCGCUUCAACCGUAAAAUUGCAGUUGAUACUGGAUAUCUUGAGUGCAGUUGAGGCAGGCGGAAUUCGUGGUGUAGCGGUGAAAUGCUUAGAUAUCACGAAGAACUCCGAUUGCGAAGGCAGCCUGCUAAGCUGCAACUGACAUUGAGGCUCGAAAGUGUGGGUAUCAAACAGGAUUAGAUACCCUGGUAGUCCACACGGUAAACGAUGAAUACUCGCUGUUUGCGAUAUACUGCAAGCGGCCAAGCGAAAGCGUUAAGUAUUCCACCUGGGAAGUACGCCGGCAACGGUGAAACUCAAAGGAAUUGACGGGGGCCCGCACAAGCGGAGGAACAUGUGGUUUAAUUCGAUGAUACGCGAGGAACCUUACCCGGGCUUAAAUUGCAGAUGAAUUACGGUGAAAGCCGUAAGCCGCAAGGCAUCUGUGAAGGUGCUGCAUGGUUGUCGUCAGCUCGUGCCGUGAGGUGUCGGCUUAAGUGCCAUAACGAGCGCAACCCUUGUUGUCAGUUACUAACAGGUUCCGCUGAGGACUCUGACAAGACUGCCAUCGUAAGAUGUGAGGAAGGUGGGGAUGACGUCAAAUCAGCACGGCCCUUACGUCCGGGGCUACACACGUGUUACAAUGGGGGGUACAGAGGGCCGCUACCACGCGAGUGGAUGCCAAUCCCCAAAACCUCUCUCAGUUCGGACUGGAGUCUGCAACCCGACUCCACGAAGCUGGAUUCGCUAGUAAUCGCGCAUCAGCCACGGCGCGGUGAAUACGUUCCCGGGCCUUGUACACACCGCCCGUCAAGCCAUGGGAGCCGGGGGUACCUGAAGUGCGUAACCGCGAGGAGCGCCCUAGGGUA